rnacentral:rRNA from 1 species
UACAGAGGUCUCAAGCGUUGUUCGGAUUCAUUGGGCGUAAAGGGGGCGUAGGCGGCGCGGUAAGUCGGGUGUGAAAUCUCGGAGCUUAACUCCGAAACUGCAUUCGAUACUGGCGUGCUUGAGGACUGGAGAGGAGACUGGAAUUCAUGGUGUAGCAGUGAAAUGCGUAGAGAUCAUGAGGAAGACCAGUGGCGAAGGCGGGUCUCUGGACAGUUCCUGACACUGAGACACGAAGGCCAGGGGAGCAAACGGG